rnacentral:rRNA from 1 species
UUAAGCGACUAAGCGUACACGGUGGAUGCCCUGGCAGUCAGAGGCGAUGAAGGACGUGCUAAUCUGCGAAAAGCGCCGGCGAGGUGAUAUGAACCUUUGACCCGGCGAUGUCCGAAUGGGGAAACCCAGUGCAAUUCGUUGCACUAUCGUUAACUGAAUACAUAGGUUAACGAGGCGAACCGGGGGAACUGAAACAUCUAAGUACCCCGAGGAAAAGAAAUCAACCGAGAUUCCCCCAGUAGCGGCGAGCGAACGGGGAGGAGCCCAGAGUCUGAAUCAGCGUGUGUGUUAGUGGAACGGUCUGGAAAGUCCGGCGAUACAGGGUGACAGCCCCGUACACGAAAGCACACAGGCUGUGAACUCGAAGAGUAGGGCGGGACACGUGGUAUCCUGUCUGAAUAUGGGGGGACCAUCCUCCAAGGCUAAAUACUCCUGACUGACCGAUAGUGAACCAGUACCGUGAGGGAAAGGCGAAAAGAACCCCGGCGAGGGGAGUGAAAAAGAACCUGAAACCGUGUACGUACAAGCAGUGGGAGCAUCCUUCGGGGUGUGACUGCGUACCUUUUGUAUAAUGGGUCAGCGACUUAUAUUCUGUAGCAAGGUUAACCGAAUAGGGGAGCCGAAGGGAAACCGAGUCUUAACUGGGCGUUAAGUUGCAGGGUAUAGACCCGAAACCCGGUGAUCUAGCCAUGGGCAGGUUGAAGGUUGGGUAACACUAACUGGAGGACCGAACCGACUAAUGUUGAAAAAUUAGCGGAUGACCUGUGGCUGGGGGUGAAAGGCCAAUCAAACCGGGAGAUAGCUGGUUCUCCCCGAAAGCUAUUUAGGUAGCGCCUCGUGAACUCAUCUUCGGGGGUAGAGCACUGUUUCGGCUAGGGGGUCAUCCCGACUUACCAACCCGAUGCAAACUGCGAAUACCGAAGAAUGUUAUCACGGGAGACACACGGCGGGUGCUAACGUCCGUCGUGAAGAGGGAAACAACCCAGACCGCCAGCUAAGGUCCCAAAGUCAUGGUUAAGUGGGAAACGAUGUGGGAAGGCCCAGACAGCCAGGAUGUUGGCUUAGAAGCAGCCAUCAUUUAAAGAAAGCGUAAUAGCUCACUGGUCGAGUCGGCCUGCGCGGAAGAUGUAACGGGGCUAAACCAUGCACCGAAGCUGCGGCAGCGACGCUUAUGCGUUGUUGGGUAGGGGAGCGUUCUGUAAGCCGUUGAAGGUGUGCUGUGAGGCAUGCUGGAGGUAUCAGAAGUGCGAAUGCUGACAUAAGUAACGAUAAAGCGGGUGAAAAGCCCGCUCGCCGGAAGACCAAGGGUUCCUGUCCAACGUUAAUCGGGGCAGGGUGAGUCGACCCCUAAGGCGAGGCCGAAAGGCGUAGUCGAUGGGAAACAGGUUAAUAUUCCUGUACUUGGUGUUACUGCGAAGGGGGGACGGAGAAGGCUAUGUUAGCCGGGCGACGGUUGUCCCGGUUUAAGCAUGUAGGCGGAGGUUCAAGGUAAAUCCGGUACCUUUUAACGCUGAGGUGUGAUGACGAGGCACUACGGUGCUGAAGUAACAAAUGCCCUGCUUCCAGGAAAAGCCUCUAAGCUCCAGGUAACACGAAAUCGUACCCCAAACCGACACAGGUGGUCAGGUAGAGAAUACCAAGGCGCUUGAGAGAACUCGGGUGAAGGAACUAGGCAAAAUGGUGCCGUAACUUCGGGAGAAGGCACGCUGACAUGUAGGUGAAGCCCCUGCGGGUGGAGCUGAAGUCAGUCGAAGAUACCAGCUGGCUGCAACUGUUUAUUAAAAACACAGCACUGUGCAAACACGAAAGUGGACGUAUACGGUGUGACGCCUGCCCGGUGCCGGAAGGUUAAUUGAUGGGGUUAUCCUUUGGGAGAAGCUCUUGAUCGAAGCCCCGGUAAACGGCGGCCGUAACUAUAACGGUCCUAAGGUAGCGAAAUUCCUUGUCGGGUAAGUUCCGACCUGCACGAAUGGCGUAAUGAUGGCCAGGCUGUCUCCACCCGAGACUCAGUGAAAUUGAACUCGCUGUGAAGAUGCAGUGUACCCGCGGCAAGACGGAAAGACCCCGUGAACCUUUACUAUAGCUUGACACUGAACAUUGAGCCUUGAUGUGUAGGAUAGGUGGGAGGCUUUGAAGCGUGGACGCCAGUCUGCGUGGAGCCAACCUUGAAAUACCACCCUUUAAUGUUUGAUGUUCUAACCUGGCGCCGUAAUCCGGCGUGGGGACAGUGUCUGGUGGGUAGUUUGACUGGGGCGGUCUCCUCCUAAAGAGUAACGGAGGAGCACGAAGGUUGGCUAAUCCUGGUCGGACAUCAGGAGGUUAGUGCAAUGGCAUAAGCCAGCUUGACUGCGAGCGUGACGGCGCGAGCAGGUGCGAAAGCAGGUCAUAGUGAUCCGGUGGUUCUGAAUGGAAGGGCCAUCGCUCAACGGAUAAAAGGUACUCCGGGGAUAACAGGCUGAUACCGCCCAAGAGUUCAUAUCGACGGCGGUGUUUGGCACCUCGAUGUCGGCUCAUCACAUCCUGGGGCUGAAGUAGGUCCCAAGGGUAUGGCUGUUCGCCAUUUAAAGUGGUACGCGAGCUGGGUUUAGAACGUCGUGAGACAGUUCGGUCCCUAUCUGCCGUGGGCGCUGGAGAAUUGAGGGGGGCUGCUCCUAGUACGAGAGGACCGGAGUGGACGCAUCACUGGUGUUCGGGUUGUCAUGCCAAUGGCAUUGCCCGGUAGCUACAUGCGGAAGAGAUAAGUGCUGAAAGCAUCUAAGCACGAAACUUGCCCCGAGAUGAGUUCUCCCUGAGACUUAGAGUCUCCUGAAGGAACGUUGAAGACGACGACGUUGAUAGGCCGGGUGUGUAAGCGCAGCGAUGCGUUGAGCUAACCGGUACUAAUGAACCGUGAGGCUUAACCUU